rnacentral:rRNA from 1 species
AUGAGGCACCUAAACAUCGGCUCCGAGAGGAAGCUUCGGAUGGCGCACACAGUGCUAAGAAGAUUUGCUUCAGAGAUGAUCGAGGAGAGGCGUAAGAUAACUCUCAAUGGGGGAAGAUGUGCAUUGAGUAAUGAUGAUGAACACAAGGAUAUUCUAUCUUCCUACAUAAAUGACCCAGACUACAAAGUCAAUGACUUGCUCCAUGCGGUGCUCCUUAGCUUCAUGCUUGCUGGGCGGGACAUGAUUGGUACCACUCUACCCUGGGUCUUCUCUCACCCAUUGCAUCACGCAAAUGGCCAUGAGGUGAAGGUCGGGGACACCAUCCUUAUAUCUCUCCACUCCAUGGGGAGAAUGGAAGACAUAUGGGGUAAAGACUGCCUUGACUAUAACCCGAAUAGGUGGUUGUCAAAGGAUGGAAACACCCUGACGUACGUACCAUCUCACAAGUUCUUGGCCUUCAACUCAGGCUCGAGGAUCUGCCCUGACAAGGAGAUUGCGGUUAUGCAGAUGAAGACCGUCGUUGCGACUGUGUUGUGGAACUUUGAUGUCGAGGUGGUGGAAGGGCAGAUCAUCCAGCCCAAGCCACCUUGUAUACUACAGAUGAAAAAUGGAUUUAUAGUUAAACUGAGGAAGCGAGAAUUGUAA